GGCUUCGUAGCUCAGCUGGUAGAGCCCUUGCCAUGUACAGGCAUGGUGUUUCUGUCGCUGAUUCGAAUCCAGCCGAAGCCC
rnacentral:tRNA from 1 species